UUCCUCACUGCUGAGAGUCGUGACCAUC
rnacentral:piRNA from 1 species